UGGCCACCACCUUCAGCUGGAGGAACCAACAAAGCGGUUAACGUUCUGACGAGGCUCCAGCUCAGCCAGGAGGUCCUGGGUUCAACGCCCAGGGUGGACCUGGAUCUUCAGCCUUCAUGUUCUCCGGCUACUCUGGCUUCCUCCCAGCGUCCCAACACACACCUGUCAGCUGCUGAGAGCGUGUCCAGGUGUGUCUGAGUGGGCGUGUCCAAGACUUCCUGCAAGGAGCCGGAACCCGGAGGAGGAAGAUGGAUGUUUCUGCGCUCACUGAGCGGUACAGGAGCUGCAGAGAGAAGCAGAGGACAGAGCUUCAGCUGGUCCAGACAGACUGCAGAGACCUGCUUGGCCCCAUCAGAACCGUCCCCAUCAGAACCGUCCCGGUUGCCCAGGGUUGGACGUCGCCAUGGGAACCAGGUAGCCCCUCCCCCCCUGUUGUCUCUCUGGAGUCUGACCCGAAGAUGUCCGACCCGUGGCACGACCACCUGGACCUCCACAGGCGGGCGGAGGCGAGGAGCUGCAGAUGUUCCGGUUCUUCAUCCUCAGAGGUCAGCACUGCAACGUUCUCCGUGUCAGAUCGUCUCUGCAGCUCAACAACACCUUCCAUCAGUGAGGAACAUCCAGUCCGUACCGGUUCUGGUUCUGGUUCCUCUGAUGGAUCCACCAAAGGUUCCUGUGGAAGUUGCCGGCUGGAUGAGGCUCCUGGUUCUGCGGAUCCUCCUGACGGCUCCUCCAGGAGAACCACAGAGAGGGUUGAGCCAGAGAACCGUGGCUCAGGGUCCAGUUCCACCCACCGUGACCAGAACCAGGAGAUGGACCGGUCUCCAGGGACUGGAGCUGUCAGAUCAAGCAGAACCUGCCAGCACCUCCCGGGUCCGUCCUCCAGGUUCUCCCAGCAGCUGAGUGCAGAACCAUCCUGUCAGAACCACUACCCGUUCCCCAGCAGGAGAACCCCGAGGAGAUCUGAGGCUGCCAGGAGGCUGGGUCUGUACUCAUCCUUCUGAAGUUCUGCAGAACCCUGCUGGAACCCACCAGAACAAAGAGAACAUGUCAGAAAAGCUCCUGGUUGGUUAUUAGUCAUCUUGUUCCGUCUGGACCUGUGCAGAUCCAGGUUCUCCUAACCUCCAGCACCUGGUUCUAAGCUCAGGUUUUAGUGGAUCUUUAGAAGGAAAAUCUCAUUAAAUAAUCAGAAGAAAUGUAAAAACACGUUAAUUAUUGUCACAUGUUCAAAGUAAAGCACCAACAGUAAA